CCAGGCUCAUUUUACUCUUUCCCUGCCUGGCCCUGGAAUCAUUCCUUUUAGUGCAGGAUGGUGUUUAGAAACCAAGAUCCAGGCACUAGGUCUGCUCAUUGCUGCCAGGGUGUUAAUGCCGCUGAGUCCUCUCAGUGGGCAGCCUGGGAAGUAUGUGUGUGUUUAUCCGUACACGACACUCAUCUGUAAGUAUCUUUGUAUCUAUCUGUGCAUCUAGUCAACAGCCAUGAGUUCUUACCAGUACUCUCAGUUCCAACCCAACACCCCAGGAUUCUUUCUAGCCUCUCAGACUUCUGUGUUUGUGAAUGUCUUCCCCAGCAGGGAGUAACUCGAUCUCCUUCAUCCUGAAUAUAUUUACUUGUUUGCUUAACAUUACUGAUCUCCCUAUUGCACUGAUGGCCUCCGUCCACUCACUUUGUGCCCCUUCCCUGACACCCCUUGGCAAUGGGGCCCAGUGGCCUGCAUUCUGAGGGGCUCCCCUGCACUCCUGCCACCCCCUGUGUCCUAGGAAGCCAGAGCCCUGGGUCCACACCUUUGUGCAGCUGCCAGGCUCCAGCCUGUGCCUCAGUGUGACUUCCCAAUCUCCAUCACUUCCUCAUGUCCUCAACCCCUUGGCUGUCUCUUCCAUGCUACAAGGGGAGGGAAGAGAAGGGGAACGGGAAGGAAGGUGUCUUAGUCUGUUGGGGUUACUAUGACAGAAUACCACAGCACAGGUGUCUUAUAAAAAACAGACACUUAUGUCUCACAGCUUUGGAGGCUGGAAGUCCAAGAUCAAGGUGCUGGCAGAUUCCGUGCCUGGCUAAGGCUUUCUGGUUCAUCCAGGCGCUGGUGGAUUCCGUGUCUGGCUAAGUCCUGCUUCCUGCUUCAUCGAGGCGCUGGCGGAUCCCGUGUCUGGCUAAGUCCUGCUUCCUGCUUCAUCGAGGUGCCAGUGGAUUCCGUGUCUGGCUAAGGCCUGGUUUCUGGUUCAUCGAGGCGCUGGCGGAUCCCGUGUCUGGCUAAGUCCUGCUUCCUGCUUCAUCGAGGUGCUGGUGGAUUCUGUGUCUGCCCAAGGCCUGUUUUCUGGUUCAUCGAGGUGCUGGCAGAUUCUGUGUCUGGCCAAGGCUUUCUGGUUCACAGAUGCCACACUCUCACUGUGACCUCAUGUGGGGGAAGGGUGCAUGAGCUCCCUUGGCCCUCUUUCUUAAGGGCACAAAUCCCAUUCAUAAGGGCUCUGCCACCAUGACCUAAUCACCUCCCCAAAGACCCCACCUCCUGAUACUCAGUCCUUGGGGACUAGGAUUUCAGCAUAGGAAUUUUUAGAGGACACAAACUUUCCAGCCAUAGCAUUCUGCCCUGCAAAAUUCAUGUCUUCCUCAUAUGCAAAAUAGGUUCACUCCAUCCUAACAGACCAAAAGUUUCCAGUCAUUCCAGCAUCAACUUGACGGUCUAAGUCCAAAAGUCUCAUUUAAAUAUCAUGUAAAUCACAGCUGGGUGAGACUCAAGGUGUGAUUCAUCCCGAGGCGGAUUCUCCUCCAGCUGUGAGCCUACAGAAGCAAACGAGAUGUGAGCUUGGGAAACACAGGGGUGGGACAGGCAGAGGACAGACGCACCUAUUCCAAAAAGGAGAAAUAGGAAAGAAGAAAGGGUAACAGGUCCUGAGCAGGGACGAAGGCAAUAAAGCAAACAGCAUUAGAUCGUAA
rnacentral:lncRNA from 1 species